rnacentral:rRNA from 1 species
CAAUAGCGUAUAUUUAAGUUGUUGCAGUUAAAAAGCUCGUAGUUGGAUUUUGGGUCGGGGGCACCGGUCCGCCGUUCCGGUGUGCACUGGUGGCCCCUUCCUUUCUGCCGGGGACGUGCGUCGCACUUAAUUGGGUGGCGUUCGGAGUCGGCGUUGUUACUUUGAAAAAAUUAGAGUGUUCAAAGCAAGCCAUCGCUCUGAAUACAUUAGCAUGGAAUAACAUGAUAGGACUCCGGUCUUAUUUUGUUGGUUUCCGAGACUGGAGUAAUGAUUAAGAGGGACAGUCGGGGGCAUCCGUAUUUCAUUGUCAGAGGUGAAAUUCUUGGAUUUAUGAAAGACGAACUUCUGCGAAAGCAUUCGCCAAGGAUGUUUUCAUUAA